CCCUGCUGGAGCUGCUGUGGGGAAGCGGGCAAUGGGGCUGUUUGUGGUCGGUUUUACUGGGGGUCGAAGGCGUUUGUUGUGCGCUCCUGUGGGGCUUAUCCGAAGGUGCCCCACACUUAAGUUUAGUAUUAGAGCUCCCAAACGUGGUUUUCUGAGCCCAGCAACCGCAGCGCUGGGGUGCAGCGAGGGGGCAUCGCAUCCUAAAGGGCGCGGGGUGACUCCUUGACCCGGUUUGCAUGGCACUGGUCGUGUGCCACAAUGGCUCCCCAGUGCCCGGGGUGCAGGGCCACCCUCACGGAGUUGCCCACGGGGAAGCCUCUCACCCAGGCAGGUUUGGGUGUGUCUCCCUAUGGGUUUCAGCUGUAGCCAGGGAAGGCUUCUCUGCCUCUGCUGCCUCAGGGGCCGUGCUCGCUAUGCUGGCAGAGUCCCUGCUGCCAGGCUUUGUCAGGAGCCAUUGCUCUGCACCAGCAUGGAGCCUGUUAUCUGCAUGGAAGAUUCUCACUGUAAGGGCAGGGCAGUGGUGCACCUGCCCCGAGGAGCCAUAGGGGCUUGUGGAACUUGUUUGCCACCAUGGCAGCAUUAUCACCAGGACACACAAGCAUUCAGAAACUAAAUGUGGCCCUAGAUUCACUGUCCUUUAGCAUGUGGGGGCAUUGCUUCCACUCACUCUGUUACCUCUUCCCAUGCACUAGGCCUGAAAUUCAUGCUUUAUUCCUUAAAUCUUCACUGCUAAACUUGAGGUUGGUUUUAUACUCUGGUAAAGUAACUCACAUGAUUAGAGCUUGGCUCACUUUGUAUUUCAGCAGCCGAAGCUGGACUUUCCUACUGACAUGGCAUGAAACUAAAGAUUUAUUCUUGUACCAAGGCAGAGGCAGCUAUAGCUUCCCAGUACUUCCAAAGAGAAUACUCUGAAUUAUUCUAACCUAAGGUGUGGUUCUGUGUCAGCUGCUCUCAGUGUCACAAAAGUGACAGACUUGGAGAGAGAUACAAUCUUCGUUUUCUUUUUGGUAAAGUGCAGCACUGCAGAUCCCAACUCAAAGGAAAUGGCAAAAUGCAGCAGGAUUACUGAACCAUGUCUGCCUACAUGAAACAAGCUCUCCAGAGGUAGAGUUUAACUCCAUCUCCGACUUCAGAAAGACAGUGUUUUUUCUUUUUUAUUCUUAAGAUUAGGCUUUACAAGCAGGGAAUUGGCACAGUUUCUGAGGCAGCAGCUUCCUGCCCUUCUUCAUCCACUGGAACACACACCCUUGGGCAUGGGGAAGCUAUCAAAUUAGCUUUGCCACUAGAAGAUCUGUGAAACCACCUGUCAGCUUUUAUGAAAAUAAUAAAUCUCACUCAAAACAUUA